CACGUAGGGUGCGAGCGUUGUCCGGAAUUACUGGGCGUAAAGCGCGCGUAGGCGGCUUUGCAAGUCGGGUGUGAAAUCCCCAGGCUUAACCUGGGAACUGCAUUCGAGACUGCAUUGCUAGAGUAUGGGAGAGGGAAGUGGAAUUUCCGGUGUAGCGGUGAAAUGCGUAGAUAUCGGAAGGAACAUCAGUGGCGAAAGCGACUUCCUGGACCAAUACUGACGCUCAUGUGCGAAAGCGUGGGGAGCAAACAGG
rnacentral:rRNA from 1 species